rnacentral:rRNA from 1 species
AUACGGAGGGUGCAAGCGUCGUUCGGAAUUACUGGGCGUAAAGCGCGCGUAGGCGGUUUGUUAUGUCAGAUGUGAAAGUCCACGGCUCAACCGUGGAAGUGCAUUUGAAACUGGCAAACUUGAGUACUGGAGGGGGUGGUGGAAUUCCCGGUGUAGAGGUGAAAUUCGUAGAUAUCGGGAGGAAUACCGGUGGCGAAGGCGACCACCUGGCCAGAUACUGACGCUGAGGUGCGAAAGCGUGGGGAGCAAACAGAAUUAGAAACCCUAGUAGUCC